UACGGGGGGGGUAAGCGUUGUUCGGAAUUACUGGGCGUAAAGGGCUCGUAGGCGGCCAAUAAGUCAGACGUGAAAUCCCUCAGCUUAACUGGGGAACUGCGUCUGAUACUGGAUGGCUUGGAUUCGGGAGAGGAAUGCGGAAUUCCAGGUGUAGCGGUGAAAUGCGUAGAUAUCUGGAGGAACACCGGUGGCGAAGGCGGCAUUCUGGACCGAUAUUGACGCUGAGGAGCGAAAGCCAGGGGAGCAAACGGG
rnacentral:rRNA from 1 species